UGUGUUAUCUGAUGUUUCCAUUUUCUUUAUACCUCAUGAAAACAAGAGUCGACAAAAGUGUACAUGCUUCGACCUUAUCACUUCUGGCAAAACGUUGUUAUAGAGAAUGAAGAAAAUCUCUAGCUGUUGUGAUUUCAUCGGACAUAGUAUCCCGAAAAACAUCUGCAAUAGCAUGUUCCAUAACCAACAUACUCAUACGGUU
rnacentral:lncRNA from 1 species